rnacentral:rRNA from 1 species
UCGAGGAUCUUCGGCAAUGGGCGAAAGCCUGACCGAGCGACGCCGCGUGUGCGAUGAAGGCCUUCGGGUUGUAAAGCACUGUCGAGGGAGAGAAAGGCCCGCAAGGGCUUGAUCGAUCUCUGGAGGAAGCACGGGCUAAGUUCGUGCCAGCAGCCGCGGUAAGACGAACCGUGCGAACGUUGUUCGGAAUCACUGGGCUUAAAGGGUGCGUAGGCGGGCGCGUCAGUCAGGGGUGAAAUCCCACGGCCCAACCGUGGAAGUGCCUCUGAUACUGCGCGCCUGGAGGGGGAUAGGGGCGUGCGGAACUUCCGGUGGAGCGGUGAAAUGCGUAGAUAUCGGAAGGAACACCGGUGGCGAAAGCGGCGCGCUGGAUCCCUACUGACGCUGAGGCACGAAAGCCAGGGGAGCAAACGG